rfam:Ornithorhynchus anatinus chromosome 4, whole genome shotgun sequence.
GGGAGAGUGGCUUAGUGGCAAGAGCAUGGGCUUGGGGGUCAGAGGUCGUGGGUUCUAAUCCCAGCUCUGCCA